AUUGAACGCUGGCGGCAUGCCUUACACAUGCAAGUCGAACGGCAGCACGGGGGCAACCCUGGUGGCGAGUGGCGAACGGGUGAGUAAUACAUCGGAACGUGCCCCGUAGCGGGGGACAACCAGUCGAAAGACUGGCUAAUACCGCAUACGCUCCACGGAGGAAAGCAGGGGAUCGCAAGACCUUGCACUAUGGGAGCGGCCGAUGCCCGAUUAGCUAGUUGGUGAGGUAAAGGCUCACCAAGGCAACGAUCGGUAGCUGGUCUGAGAGGACGACCAGCCACACUGGGACUGAGACACGGCCCAGACUCCUACGGGAGGCAGCAGUGGGGAAUUGUUCGCAAUGGGCGCAAGCCUGACGACGCAACGCCGCGUGGAGGACGAAGAUCUUCGGGUCGUAAACUCCUGUCGAGCGGGACGAAUGGCCCGCGGAUGAAUAAUCCGCGGGAGUGACGGUACCGCGAGAGGAAGCCCCGGCUAACUCCGUGCCAGCCGCCGCU
rnacentral:rRNA from 1 species